UUCCUUAAUGUGACCUGUCUUAAGCCU
rnacentral:piRNA from 1 species